UGUUUUACUUAUGUGUGGAGGAAUCCUGGCCGGGGCUGGUCACUGGGAGGGCAAGGACUAUGUCCCCCUCGUUCCUUCUCAUCCCAGAGCUCAGCCCUGGGCAGCCCAUCUUGGGCCCCAGUAAUGAUCCAGUGCUUCCAACCCCUUUGCUGAGAUCCAGCCCCAGUGUGAAAAGGCUUCCUGCUCAUCUUCUUCAAUCUAUUGUUUCUCAUGGUAAUCUAGAAACCUGAGUGGGUUCUGAUCCAAGGUCACAGGAGAAUAGGGGGGCUCCUGAAGUCACUGAAGUUUCCCCUCAUCUCUACUCUGGCUGCCUUGGUUCAGCUUUUCUCCUGCAGAAGAUGCUUCUUUCUGUUUACAAGUCCUGCUCUGCUGGACCAGGCGUUUUUAUUCUUGUUGUGGCAUCCCUGCACUUCAAAGGGGACCUGGAACUUGUUCCUGUGCCCCUGAAGUACCCAUCCAUGAAUGAUCAGAUCAGAGCAAACCACUCUGCCAGGAAUCAGCAGGGGGGAGAGUCACAUCUCCCUCACCUUUGGGUUUAGACCUGUGCAUUCCAGUGUGUUCCUCCGUGGCAUAUGUGCCCAUUCGUGUUUAAAUAAAUGAAAAAUUCAUAACCUCCUCACAAGAGCCAUACUAUAAGUUCCCAGUUGCCAAAUGUCUACUCUUAAGAGAGCAUCUCCAUUCUCCCUGAAUCACCUGGGAAGCAGCUGCUGUGAGUCUGGCCCAGAUUCUGUUCACUGCACUCACCUGACUCAGUGCAUGUGCAUCAAGGCUGGAAUCUCGGGUUCUCAGACUGGACGUAAGAGAUGUUCUGAGCCAGUGUCGGUGAACAGUUGAAAGGGAUUAUUCAGUUUCUCUGUCUCACCUGAAGGCUCCCAACUGUGAGCAGGGCCUUCCUAAUGGCCCCUGAGUUCACAGAGCCCAGGGAGAAUCACCGUGGACUGAGCAGUAGUGCCGACGUUUGUGUCUCUGUACUUGGGCUCAUGGGCACCACCUCUGGAUCCAUCCAGGGGGAAAUAGACUGGUCAGGUAGGGACCGACACUCCAGGGUUGACCAGUGAGGAGGGUUCUUGAGGAUUGGGUGACAUUUGUUUUGGAGCCUGGGGUGGGAUCAGUGAAGUGACUAAAUAUGAAAGGAAAUAGGUGUAGAAGUCUGACUUGGGAUUUUUUGUAUCUUAAUGAGAAAGUUGUAAGAGUUUUGUUCUCAUGAGCUUUGUGUGAGUUGUGGUGUCACCAUCAUUUCUUGCUCUGGUGUUUAAAGAUUGCAUUUUGCAAAGACCAGAUCAUUCCUGCCUUUGCCACAGCAAGCACCAGAGCCCUGGGUUUGAUGAGGCAGCAUUUUGUUGUGAAUGGAGAUGACAAGAUGAGUAUGCAGGUGUAACGUUGAGUGUCGGGGGGGACACAGCCCCUCACAGGUGCUACGUGAUCCUGACGACAAAGUCCUUCAUACGUGUGCCAGGAGCUGAAAGGAGCCCACCCUCUUUCUCUACACUCUCGGGACCUGCAACGGCACCUUCCCGUCCUGUCCUCAGCGUCUGCUGCUGCUCUAAGGGUGCUCCCUGGGUGGGAUGACACAGGGAGUCCUUCCUCUGGGAUUGCUGCGUGUGCCCCGGCAUCCUGGAGUCCUCAGGGCGGGACACUUGACUGAGCACAGUUUUGGCCUCUGCUCCUCACCCAAUCCCAUCCAAUCCCAAAUCCGUGGGCUUUGAAUGAAACCUACAUUGGCUUUCAUUGGAGAGAGAGGCCCGAGUCCAGCUGUGGCUCAAGGCCCUCUGUGGCUGGCAGGAAUCCUCGGGGAUAUGUGUGGAGGGGCUGCUGUGUUGCUGCAGGCAGUGGCUCUCGCCCUCCCUGUAGCCUGGUCCCUGGAAUCCACUGGGCCCAGGGCAGAGCCUCUGGGCAGCCACCACAGGGGUCACUUGUCUUGUGACACCCUCCUCUCUGGCCCAACAGCCUUGUCCUGCUCCCCACACUCCAGUCAGGCCCAGCUUUUUCUGUGUGUCAGGCCUGCCAGGUGCCCUCCCACUUAGUCUUCCCACAGCUCAGGCAAACCCUGGGAGGCCCCCUCAUUUCUGUGCUGACAACUGCUGACCUCACCUGCAGAUUAAAGCAACUGGGACAAGAGGCUUUAUCUUGAAUUCUGUUCCAUUGUUUCCAAAUACUCAGAAGCUGGUGGGAUUCGUUUGACGACUGAAUAUUUUCCAAGCCUCUAAGGUCAUUCCAGGCGUAGAACAGUCACUGUAUCUGUGACGUCAUUCAUCAUCAGCUCCCACAGCCCCCAACACAACCCCAGGCCUGUGGACAUCGGUCAUGAUCACCUCCCACGGGCCCCAACACAACCCCAGGCCUGACUGAAUCUGUGGCAUUGGCCAUCAUUGCCUCCCACAGCCCCCAACACAACCCAGGCCUGGGCAGGUGCUGCCGACCCAGGGUGCAAUCUGUGUGUUGACUGGAGGCUGGCAGUGCAGCCUUGGCCUUCUUUCCGAUGUUCUAUUGGAGACCAGUAGGACUGGUGGAGGUCCACAAGGAGGAAGGAAAUGGGAUUCAUGAGGGAACAGAAGCAGGCCCUACAGGAGGAGGAGGGAGGGAUUCCACGUCAUGCACAACGUUGUGAAGAGGGCGGCCGCCUCUUGGAGGAACAGAAUGACACGGCUUCCCCUCCCUUGGCUCAGUUAUGGAAUGUGAGGGCUGGGAAAGUGUGUGGGAAGUCGGAGGUCCCUCCCUCGUAGCACAGAGGAAAUGAUACGGACUGUGGAGAAGUCUCCAGAAAUGGGCACAUCAGAGGCUCUGGGGUUGGCUCCACAGCCCCAGGACAGCGGAGUCUGAGGGGUUCUCUCGACAAUAACUCUCCCCUUUCCUUCUUACGGCUGCCCCCAUCACCGCUUCUCCUCCGGACACUCUGAUGCUUGCUUCCCAGAACUGGAAGACUCCACCAUUACAGGCAGCCACCAGCAGAUGUCAGCAAGUUCCUCCUCUGCACCUGCAGAAGCAGCAACAGAAAAGACAAAAGUGGAAGAGGAAGUGAAAACCAGGAAGAAAACCAGGAAGCCCAGGAAGAAAACCUGGCGGAAUGUCCUGAGCCGUUGGGACAUUUUUAAUAUAUUUUAGAGACCUCUGAAGAUUCCACGAACACCAGGAAGGGGCCUGAUGUGGGGAUGUCAACUUGGCUCAGACUUGAUGUGGAUCGUGAUUGUUUCAGGAACUGUGUUACUCCAAAAACUUUUAUAAUCUUUGCUUAAUUUGUUUUUAAAUAUUUUCCUGGCUGGGCACGGUGGCUCGUGCCUGUAAUCCCAGCACUUUGGGAGGCCGA